CUGCAGUUUCAAAAAGCUAAUUCACACUACUGUGUGCAUUAGAAAGGUGGUAUAUAUGAUAUUCCACUAAGGGAAACCCUAGGAACAUUAAACUCCUACUAGUAACUGGUCACGAGUCAGGGCUAGAACUGACACUAGUCAUUUUUCUUCACUGACAAGUUUUCAUUAUGUGGCUUUCCCAGAACAAUUUAGAAAUUGAUCUGCAACUGAUGGAAGCUGGGAUGAAUUGGGCGCAUAAGUGAACCCAAAGCAUCAGAGCAAAGUCAAAGCGAACAUCUGGCUCCAGCUUUGAGUACAAUUGUGUAUGAUUGAGAGCAAGGAAAAAAGGCUUUGAAGGGGAAUUCAAAUAUUGAAGACACAAGAGAAAAAAUAAAUAAUAAAAUACUGUGAUCUCUUUGAAAUUGAGAAUGAAGUGAAAUGAAAGAAAUAUAAAAAGCUAGUUUGGCCCUGUAGGAAAGAUGAUCUGUUCUUCCUCUGACACAGAAAGGAAGGAAGAAAGAACAUGCUGGAAGCAGAGCAAAGAAGAGAGACUUGUGUUUCCAUGGAAUAAUCUUGGGAUCCAUGUGGAGUGCAAGAGAUUGGAACAGAAGGAGUUCUCAAAAAAUAAAAACUUCGGGCGGGUGCGGUGGCUCACGCCUGUAAUCCCAGGACUUUGGGAGGC
rnacentral:lncRNA from 1 species